AAAUGGAGUGCUUGGAUUGUGUUUCUGUUAAAAUAUUUCAGAAACGUUUUGUUCUCAAACUUGGGUUUCCAGCUGGACUACGGCCCCCAUCAUCCCUGGCCGCUGGUCCUACUAGCCAGGGACGAUGGGAGUUGUAGUCUGACGACAGCCGGGGACCCAGGUUUGAGAAAACGCUUGAUGUCUGAAGUUCACCGUCCUGUCUUCUCAGCGGCCGACCAGAUGCCCCGGUGGAGUUGCUGGAUCAGGCCCUGUCCUUGCUGCAGUCAACCAGACCCCCCACCCGUGGCAGGUCCUGAGUGUGAAUCUCUCCACUCAAGAUCCCCGGCAAUCUCCUGCAAUAGGAGAACUGUGGUGAGCAGCUAUUGUAGACUUUUCCGCAUCCCCCCUCCUAAUUCUCUUUUAAAGCCUGCCUCUUACAGGAAGCGUUGCCGCUUCUGAAUUAUUAUUAUUAAUCUCUGGAGGUUUGUAUCCUGCCUUGUUCCUCUCCCAAAGGGGUUUCGAGGUAGCGUGUGAAUUGCUCUGCCCCAAUCCGACCCUACAAAGUAGGUUUUGGCUGCGAGAGGCACAGCGAGCGGGAGGAUUUGAACUCGAAUCUUCUCCCAGGCAAAUCUGGGACGCUGCCAGCGCUGGCGCCACAGCUGGGUCUUCUCAACUACCGCUGUGAUAGGAAUUUUAUGGUCUUAGAUAUAUGGUAAUGUUCAUAAGCGUACCAACCAAGCACCUACAUAGAUCAGCACAGGAAGACCGACCUGGAACCAUUUUGAUUCCUAAACUGAGCAAAUCUUUUCUCUGCAAGGCAGGGGGUUGGACCCGAUGGCCCUUGUGGUCUCUUCCAACUCUAUGAUUCUAUGAAAAUGGAAAAGCCUCCCCAUUGUCUUUUCCUUCACAAAUCCUGUCUUAAGGAUAUGUCUGUGUUUGAAUAGGGUGAGCCUGUGACCUGGCCCAGGAACUAAGUAUUUAUCAUUACAAAAGACUGGCUAGGAAAUCCAAUCAAGUAACCUGCCAGACAGGAGAUAAACAACAACAGGAGAAAAACAAUAUUAAAAUUUCUGUGAUAUAGGUGUGAUGUUUCUGGGGGUGGUCUUGAUCUACAGGGUGGCAAUUUCAAAAGUCUUUAUAAGGCCUUGCAGGCCAUUUUUCUGGGUCCCUCCUCUCUCCUGCGGGUGAGGGGAGCACCCUGUUGCAACAGAUCAAUAAAGAUCAAGCUUACUAGCUGCUUUGCUUCUCAAUAUUCUCUGGUUGGCCUCUGUUAUUUUCUCCUACCAAUAGGGAACCUAUGUAAGGACUCUAUAUGGGCUCUUGGAUACCCCAUAAGGGAAAAGAGCAAUUUUUUGUUUACAACACCGCCCGGCAACACCAUGCCAGGAAAAAGCCAAACAAACCACGAGAGUGCAAGGGAUUUGCUUUCCCGCAAGUAAGCGUAAAAAGAAAGAAAAAAUGAGGCAGAGCGACAAUUGCUUAGCUCAGCGACGGGGGCGGGUGGGAGGGAAGGAGGACGUCAAUCGUGCCUUCGGCUAACAAUGCCCUCUGUGAUCGCGUCUGCUGCUCUCGCCCUCUCCCCCUGCCGCUGCCUCCCGGCAGAUCCUGCCAAGGUAAUUUUCACGCAGAGGAGCGGUGGCUUUUUCAAGCCGGAUGACUCAGUCGGAGCCAGGAGAAGGGGCGACUGCAGAUUGCUUUUUUUCGCCCAAGGACGCAGAUUCCCGUCACAGCACCCACGGAGGCCCCCUGGGGAGACGUAAGUCGCCUCCGUAAAGGACUUACGCACAACCCAAAACGUGUCGUCCUUUCUCCCUGGGGAGCUCCAGGCCCCCCCUCCAAAAAAACAACAACACGCCGUUGCCUAAGACCUUUGCAAAAGGGGUUGCUUCAAAGACCCGUUGCAUGGAUCCCCAGAGAGGGCCUUUUGCUCACGAGUAGCAGCCCGUUCAUCCCCAUUUAUUUAUCUCAAUUUGAUGUGCUGUAUCUUUUUUUGCAUGUGUCCUGGCCUUCGCAGGACAGUGGGGGGGGGAGCAGAAGUGGGGCACAAUGGUUAGAGCAUUGGGCCAUGAGCUGGCUGACCAGGGUUCAAAACCCCAAUCCACCCUGAAGCUCGCUGGGUGAUUUUUGGGCCGGUUGCUGUCUCUUAGCCUAAGCUACCUCGCAGGGUUGCUGCAAGGAUGGAACAGGGAGAACCGCCUUGAGGUCAGUGGAAGGUAGAGGUGGAAUGCAAAUGUUAACAAAUAAAAACAAAAUAAAAACAAUCAAGCAAAAAGACACCAGCUGCCCUUGAACCGAGUCAGUGGAUCAUUCUUAUAAGAGCACCUCUUUCAGAAAUCAGCGCCGAGGUUUUGGGUUUUCCUCUUCCCUCCCUGUCCCCUUUCCCUUGCGUGUUGUGGAGGGUUUUGGUUUUUCCCCUCCAUCUUCUAACGCAGUUGUCCUGCGGAGAUACCAACUGCCUCGCUUUGUUUGCAAGCUGCUCCCGAAGCCAUUUGGGCAGGGUGCACAAAGGCAAUUAACAAAGAAACGAACAGAAACAAAGGGCCUCCCCCCCCCGCCAUUGCUGCAGAACCUGACGACACCCCGCCUUUCUAUUCAUAUAGGAAGAUAUCCACAAAAGGGUUUCUGGAGAGAGUGGCAAACCCUUUCGGGUUCUUAACCGUGGGGUUCCCAGAAAUGGGAGGAGAGGGUGGGGGUUUUUUGGGGGGGAGCAGAAAAGAGAGGGGGGCCCUCUACUUUCCUAGCCAAGUAAACAAUAGUGUAUGGAGAAUUUUAUAUCUAUAUAUGCAAGUACAUUCAGCCAAGCAACAUCAAUUUUUAAGUGUUUCGGCAGGGAAGGAGGGAGCAGAGGACGGGGGGGGAUGUAAAGCAGCCACCCCUCCAAAGCGCCUUCUUCUUCUGAUCAAUGGAAACCUUAAUGAGUUUCCCUCCCCGCAAUGUAAGCCAGCUCCUGCCUCCGCAAGUGACUCACUCUCCUGGUUUUCUCUUCUCCCUGUGUUGCCACCUCUGCCUGCAGCUUAGCUGGUGUUCUCAAACGCCGCGGGAGUCGCCAUCCCGAAAAAGGGUUUUUUCCUGGCGCUCUCUUAACACGGCACCCCAAACCCUAGACAAAAAGGGGACCCCUCUGCUAUGCCAAGUCUCUCUCCCCCCCCCCCGGCGCAGAUGCAGAACCUGAUGACACCCUGCAUUUCUAUUCAUAUAGGAAGAUAUCCACAAAAGGGUUUCUGGAGAGUGUGGCAAAACCGCCACUUUCACCCACAGGGGUCCUCCGUCGGUUGGGGCGCAGCCCGAAUCUGCAACCGUGCAGCGCCGUUCGGGCAUGCCGCCUUGCAGCAGCUGCCGCAAGCAAACUCCCUAACUCCCAAGUUGCUAGACCUCAUGACUUUGGAAAGCAGGACACCCCGAGGGGCCGGAAGGGAAUCGAUUCCCGUAGCUCGCGUAGCUGCGGAGAUGGCAAGGGCUAUUUCAAUAUUGCGGUACCCUGGCUCACGUGUUUAUUUCUUAAAAGCAGUUCCACGGGCGACAGCGAGUGAGCCGGUGUCCCUCGCAGCUGUUUUGCUCGACGGCUAUUCUGCCCAAGCAGGUAUCUCAGGUGGGAAAAGCCAAUGGCAUGUGAGGUUAAAACCUCCGCCGAUUCCAUGUUAGUGCAGGGUCAAGGAGGUUAGGUCAAGGAGUUUAUAUUCUUCUCCUCCUGAACCCCCUGAACCCUGGCCGCGUGCUUUAGAUCUAAUUUAAGGAAUUCUGCCCAAGCGGGUGAAAUCUUGGGGCUCCCCCCUCAUGCCCCGCCAAGCUUUUAUUUGUAGUGGGGUAGGAGAAGAAAAUAGGGACAUGGGUGGCGCUGUGGGUUAAACCACAGAGCCUAGGGCUUGCCGAUCAGAAGGUCGGCGGUUCGAAUCCCCAUGACGGGGUGAGCUCCCGUUGCUCGGUCCCUGCUCCUGCCAACCUAGCAGUUCGAAAGCACGUCAAAGUGCAAGUAGAUCAAUAGGUACCACUCCAGUGGAAAGGUAAACGGCGUUUGCGUGCACUGUUCUGGUUCGCCAGAAGCGGCUUAGUCAUGCUGGCCACAUGACCCGGAAGCUGUACGCCGGCUCCCUCGGCCAGUAAAGCGAGAUGAGCGCCGCAACCCCAGAGUCGGCCGCGACUGGACCUAAUGGUCAGGGGUCCCUUUACCCUUUACCUUUAGGAGAAGAAAUGUAUUUAGCGUUAAGGCUGGGAGUGCGUACCCAAUUCUGACCAAACGUAGCCUCCUGGAUGUAUACUGUGCUUCUGACCGCGUGGGCAGAGAGCAGCUGUCCUGGCUACGAAUUCUGCUCCUCGGAUUUGUGCGGUCUUCUUUUAGAGCUAUCCAAGGCGGCGGCCCAUGGGUCCCCCCUGUGGCAGGAAGUUCCACAGUUGAACGCUUCAAAGAUCUUAGGGGCUGUCACACGGAAGAGGGAGCAUGCUUGUUUUCUCCUGCUCUGGAAGGUAGGACUCGAAUCCAUGGCUUCAGAGUGACAAGAAAGGAGGGGUUGGGUGGCCAUCUGUCAUGGAUGCUUUAGCCGAGAUUCCUGCAUUGCAGGGGGUUGGACUAGAUGACCCUCGGGUCCCUUUCUCUUUUUCUAUGUACUCUGCACUGUGAGGAUGACAUUUUCUUUGGUCUGUGCUGAAUGACCCCAGAGUUCCAUUAUUACGAGAAAAAAACCUGCCUCCCUAUCGACUUUCUUCACCGCAGGCACAAUCUUACCUUUUCUUCUAACCUGUCAGGGAGCUUUGCACUGCCUUCUCUGACUGUCAGACCCAGCCAGAGGUUUUUGCUCCACUCGCAAAGGUUCUUUUCCCCGGGCCACAAAAUGUUUGGGAACUUGGGAUUAUUUUGCACCCGUUCUGAGCUGGUUUUUUAAAUAGCGGUGUGUGUUUUUAUGUCUUCCGAGCGUUCGGGAAGAUCAUAUAAAACCCAGGGGAUAUUCUUCGACAGAUAACCCACCCUGCCGUAAGCCGAACUGCAAAGCUUCUAAAGCGAAGAGUCGGAUUGAAAACGUUAUUUUUUUUUAAAAGGGAGAAUUUCAAAAUGCAACAAAGCUUUUUAUUUCGCUCUUCAAACCGAAGGUCGCGGAAGGUGGAAAAGAACAGCUUUUCUCCGGAAAAGAAAACCUUUUAAAAGCAACAACAAUAACAAUAAAUCUGGAUAAAAGGGGGUGGGGGCGGCAGAACUUUUUAAGAGCCGGUGUUCCCUAGGGGUGGGUGGGUGUGCCAAGGAGGGGAAAAGCCAACCCACCACAUUGUCAAGAAUGCCGACUGACAACUCUUCAGGAUGCGGCCGAUUCGACGGGCGGUGAAUAACGGCAGCGAUUAACGCCGCAGAGAUGAUGAUCAGCCGCCGGUGCCCACAGAGGGGGCCGACACAGUGCAGAGAGGCGGGGGUUGGCGUUUUGCGCCAAGUUGGCCAGAGGUUUCGGGCUAGGGCCGCGAGCACGGCCAAAGGGAGCCAUAGAGGCCUGAAACUUCAGAAGGGCGCUGGCAGGGCAUGGCACAGGAGGGGAGCUGGGGCUCUGGGUGGGUGGAGAACGUGGGAACUGUGACCAGGAAACACCAGGAAGGGGCCCUGGCACGGAACUGCAGCGGUGAGAAGCGCCGCCAAGAACGUACAUUAACUUUCCAAGAAGGCAAGGAACUUGCAAGGUGACCGGCCGCGAUCUGGGCAUUUUUGGAGGGGCACCUAUUG